CCCGCCCCCCACUUGAGACAUGUCCAGUUCCUCCCUUGCCGCCGUUCUCUCUCCCUCUCUCUCUCUGUGAAUCCUUGAAAUCCCAGCGCCGGUGGGUUGAGCAGCGCCGGAGCCGAUGCGAGUGGGGGAGUUGCGUCCAUGGAUGUUCUCCAUCCCCUUCUCUCUCUAGCAGCCACAGAUGGACUCCUUCCCCUUCUCUCCCCAGCAGCCAUGGAUGCACUCCAUCCCCUUCUCUCUCCAGCAGCCAUGGAUGAACUCCAUCACCUUCGUCACCCAUUCUUAACCAUCUUUUUUUCCCUGCAGUUGUUGAAGAAGCUGCAACCGGCCAUGAAAAAAGUUGCAUCCACACUCCGAGGUGCUGGAACCGGCUAGGAAAAAAGCUACGACAACCUUAACCUGAGGGAAGCAUUUGUGUGUUUUGCUGGAACCGGUGUUUUGUUUUGCUACCACCGAUGGAUUUUUUUGCUACUAUCAGCAAUGGAAAAAGCUACCACCGACGGAGAUUUUUGCUACAAUCGGCGUUUGUGACCGGCGGCGGCUACAUCCGACGACCGAGGAAGGAUACAACCCACAAACAAAAUUGCUACAACCGGCAAACAAAAAAGCUACGACGUGCGGCGAGCUGGGAUGGUCACCACGGAGAGCUGCAAUGGUCGCCAUGCCGUUUGAGGCCAUGGUCGCAGCUGCGCCGAGCUGGAACCAAGGCUGCGUUUUUGCUGCAUAUGCAACUUGGGGCUCCUUUUGCUACAAACAGUGGAUUUGCCCCGAUUUGCUGCAUCGGCGACGACGAGCCGGCAACGACGAGACGGUUGGCGGGGGCGACGGUGCUCGGAGAGCGGGCACAAUGGGCGGCGCCCUCUGCUGGAGCCCACACAAAUUUGGCGCGCGUCGACGGAUGAGGCAACGCUGUGUGAAGGAUUGGUUGCGGGGAAUUGACAGCGUUGACUGAGUCAAGAGAAGAAAGGGCCAGAUCUAACAGCCACGCUGUCUUGCAUCGAACGGUAGGUAGCAGACCGGCCGAAACUUUGGCCGGUGCGCCGGCGCAGAGUAGUCGCCUAAAAAAAAUCUAUAAAGAAAAUUUUGUCUCCC